GACCCAUCAUAUUGGACUAGGUCAGGU
rnacentral:piRNA from 1 species